rnacentral:rRNA from 1 species
AAUUUUGGACAAUGGGAGAAACCCUGAUCCAGCCAGCGCGCGUGUAUGAUUAAGGCCUUCGGGUUGGAAAGUACUUUUGGCAGAGAAGAAAAGGUAUCCCCUAAUACGGGAUACUGCUGACGGUAUCUGCAGAAUAAGCACCGGCUAACUACGUGCCAGUAGCCGCGGUAAUACGUAGGGUGCAAGCGUUAAACGGAAUUACUGGGCGUAAAGCGUGUAUAGGCGGUUCGGAAAGAAAGAUGUGAAACCCCAGGGCUCAACCUCGGAACUGCAUUUUUAACUGCCGAGCUAGAGUAUGUCAGAGGGGGGUAGAAUUCCACGUGUAGCAGUGAAAUGCGUAGAUAUGUGCAGGAAUACCGAUGGCGAAGGCAGCCCCCUGGGAUAAUACUAACGCUCAGACACGAAAGCGUGGGGAGCAAACAGG